GGGUCAGACACAGAGUGAAUCUCCCUCCACUCCGUCCCAUCACACCCUCCCAGGGUCAGAUACAGAGUGAAACUCCCUCCACCCUGACCUAUCUCACACUCCCAGGGUCUGAACAAUUUAACCGAGUGCACACAACUUGAGUCGUCUCUCAUCGACACCCACAAUCCCAUUCAGGGAUGCAAGUAGGAGGUAUCUGUAUGGGCUGCUGCUCCACACCCUCCACUUCCUUGCCCUUGGCCAUCGUUCCGACACGCCAUGGCGGUCGGUCUGUCCACCUGGAGGUGAGGCGGGUCCCCACUGGAUGUCCCUUUAGGAGGGGGUUCUUCCCAUGCACCUGGGGGAUCUGGGCUGGAGGAUGCUGCAUAGAGCGGUGCCCUGCAAUAAGUUGUUCAGUUUGUACACCGAUCUCCCACCCACAUGUCACUUCUGUGGGCUGGAGGAGAGCGUGUACCACAUGUACCUGGAGUGUGCGAGGCUGCAGCUCCUUUCUGCGUUUCUGCAUGGGCUGCUUCUCCCCUUCUGGUUGCACUUUAGCCCCACCCUAUUUAUAUAUGGUCAUCCAGUAAGGAGGGGUCACGGAGGGAUGAGGAUGUCCUUGUGAACUUGCUCCUGGGGCUGGCGAAAACAGCCAUCCAUGGGUCUUGGAAAUGGGUGGCGGGAGGAUCUGCCCGGGCAGACUGCCUGGUAAUGUUUAGGGGGUAUGUUUGUGUAUUGUCUACUUGUAGUGAAGUAACUGUGUUAGUCACUGUUUUGUAUACAUUGUAUAGCACCAAUAUUUGUAAUAAAGGAAUUUUGUAAAAAAAAAUGGGGUCAGACACAGAGUGAAACUCCCUCCUCACAAUCCCAUCACACAUCCCCAGGGUCUGACACAAAGGAAUCCCCAUUUGUGCUCCCUCUUCUCUUUUAUAACCAUAUAACCAUUACAGCAUGGAAACAGGCCAUCUCAGCCCUUCUAGUCCGUGCCGAACGCUUACUCUCACCUAAUCCCACCGACCUGCACUCAGCCCAUAACCCUCCAUUCCUUUCCUGUCCAUAUACCUAUCCAAUUGUUAUUCAAAUGACAAUACCGAACCUGCCUCUAACACUUUUACCGGAAGCUCGUUCCACACAGCUACCACUCUCUAAGUAAAGAAAUUCCCCCUCGUGUUAACAUAAACUUUUGCCCCCUAGCUCUCAAAUCAUGUCCUCUUGUUUGAAUCUCCCCUACUCUCAAUGGAAAAAGCCUAUCAACGUCAACUCUAUCUAUCCCGCUCAUAAUUUUAAAUACCUCUAUCAAGUCCCCCUCAACCUUCUACGCUCCAAUGAAUAAAGACCAAACUUGUUCAACCUUUCCCUAUAACUGAGGCGCUGAAACCCAGGUAACAUUUUAGUAAAUCUCCUCUGUACUCUUUCUAUUUUGUUGGCAUCUUUCCUAUAAUUAGAGGACCAGAACUGUACACAAUACUCCAAAUUUGGCCUCACCGAUGUCAAUGUACAUUUUGUGCAAUGUCAGCUCCCAAUGUUUCCUGGAUGACUCAGAGCGAGAAUCCACAUUGCAAAAGUGCCUUCAGAAGUCAGUUGUCUGUCUGCUAUCAUCAGGCAGUACCACGGUCCUGGGGCUCUGAACACAGAAACUCUUCCCACCAGCAUGGCAUCAAAUAUCGUUAAGAUCCAGCUCCUUCUCCUCAUGGCUGGCUCCUGCUUGGCUGGAACCAACUUCCGCUUGUCCUCAGCAACGAUGGUGGCCACCGAGGGCUCGCCGGUCUCCCUGCAAUGCCGGUUCUCCUACCGGCACGACAACCGGUACUUCGUGUGGCAGUACGUGCCUCCCGGUGGGCAAGGAGCCCUCAGGAGGCUGAUGUAUUGGGAGCCCGGCUCCCAGCAGCCCGUAUACCCAGCCGGGAGCACCAACCGUUACCUGGGCACCAAGGACCUGCACAAUAGGACCAUGUCCUUGCAGAUCAGCCGCGCCAUGUCCAGCGACGCCAGCCGGUACUUCUGCCAGAUGACCGACAGCCUCUGGGACGUCAAUGCCACAGACUGGUGCGGAUGCGGGAUCUCCCUCUCCGUCGAGCGCAUUCGGCCUCCCAGUGUGCAGCUGCUGGCCCCGUUCCUGGACGGGGCGGUCUGGUCAGCGAGGGCUACGCUCAUCUGCAAGGCGGUGGGGUUUUACCCCGAGAAGAUCUCCUUCCGGUGGAUGGUGGACAGAAGGUCCCACUCCCUGCCCACGGAGCAGGACGAGCCGGUCAGGAGCAGCGGCGGCACCUACAGCGCUACCAGUCGGAUACACAUCCCGUUCCUGGAGUGGGACCGGAUCAGGAGCGUCUACUGCUUGGUCACACACAUCUCCAAAGCCACACACUUCGUCCAGGAGUUCCGGAGAAGAGCCGUUCCAGCCCCACAGCCGCCGAUCACGUUCCUGCUACGGCCCCCUGAUACCCCCUCCGGGGACGGAGCCAGCGUCACGCUCACCUGUGGGGCCAGCGGAUUCUACCCAGCAUCUCUCUCCUUCAGCUGGGAGGUGGAGGGGAGGCCGGUGGACUCAGGGGUCUGGAACACGGAGCCGGUGAGAACCCCCAACGGCACCUACCUGGCCAUUAGCACUCUGAACACCCCUCGAUUCCUCUGGAGCUCGGGGGCUCACUACACGUGUCUGAUCACCCACCAGGAGCUGGAUCAGCCCAUCAGAAAGAACAUCAGCCUCAACGAUUGUGAUCCGGUCGCGUGUGUCCCUUCUCCAACCUCGGACCAAUCCUUAACACCGUUAACAACAGUAUCCAUAGAGAUGGACUGGACAACAGUCGUUCCAGCCCCACAGCCGCCGAUCACGUUCCUGCUACGGCCCCCUGAUACCCCCUCCGGGGACGGAGCCAGCGUCACCCUCACCUGUGGGGCCAGCGGAUUCUACCCAGCAUCUCUCUCCUUCGGCUGGGAGGUGGAGGGGAGGCUGGUGGACUCAGGGGUCUGGAAGACGGAGCCGGUGAGAACCCCCAACGGCACCUACCAUGCCAUCAGCACUCUGAACACCCCUCGAUUCCUCUGGAGCUCGGGGGCUCGCUACACGUGUCUGAUCACCCACCAGGAGCUGGAUCAGCCCAUCAGAAAGAACAUCAGCCUCAACGAUCGCUGCCAACCGACCUGGUAUCCCAGGGAGAUCAGCUGGCUGUGGUUAGCAGCUGCCGUGGCCGCGCUGGUGAUCUACACUGGCAUCGUGCUGUGCAUUUUCCAUGGCAUCUGGACCUGUCGGCAGAGGGGGAGAGGAUCCAUUCCAGAAUCUCUCUGGGUAAACCUGGACAUCCCAAUGGAGAAGAUCCCAGAAGACGUUGGGAAAGGAGUUGAACUGCACGUGCAUGUAACGAGAGUCCAAGACACCUGGAGGUCCAAGACGCCGACUUCUACAAAGAAGGAUCCGUAUGCUCCACGACCGCUGGACUAAAUGUGUAAAUCCUGUGAACGAGCAGAGGUGGCGGAGAGAGAGAGAGAGAGGGAUUUCAGCCAACAGCGCGAGACUGGAGAACAUUCUCGACCCUGGGCCCCGCAGCAGCUCCUGAAACUCAAACCCGAACUUCCCUGCAGCCGCCGGGUCAGUGGAAUCCAGAGAGGGACAAGGUGUGGCGGUGUCUGGAAUGCUCAGCUCUACGUGUACACCUUCCCCACCCCCCAUGCGUCUGCCGUGCCUUCCUGUACCCCCGUCUGCACUCUCCACACCAGGUAGAACACAGCCAGCUGUCCGUUGGCAGUCCUGUGGCGUGGGGGAAUGAAGAACAGACAGCAGCCUUCACGGAAACAGGCCCUUCGGCCCAGAGUGCCUGUGCUAACCAAAAUACCAAAUAAAACAAAAUGCCUUCUUCCUGGACAUGUCUAACAGUUUCUUAAACACCUCUAUCAUAUCUACAUCCUCCCUUGGCAGAAUAUUCCAGGCGCCCACCACUCUGUGUUAAAAAAGAAGCCCCACUCAUCUCCCUUUCAUCUUAAAUGUGUACCUUGUGGUAUUAGACAUUACCACCCUGGGGGAUAAAGAUACUGGCUGUCUGCACCAUCUAUGCCUCUCCUAAUGAUCUCAGGUCUCCCUUCAGCCUCUGCACUGACGUCAGCAUGAAACUUCUUGUUUUUGCAGCAGUGUAACAGUGCAAAAGGCACAAAAGUUACCCCAAAUUACAAAUAAAUAACUGAAAAGAAAUAACGAGGACUGUCCCGAACUCUGAUGGUGGAGGGGAAGAAGCUGUUCCUGAAUUUCUGACUGUGUGUCUUUGGGCUCCUGUACCUCUUCCCUGAUGGUAACAGUGAGAAGAGGGCAUGGCCCAGUUGGCAAAGGGCCUCAGUGGUGGAUACCACCUUCCUGAGGCACUACCUCUGGAAGAUGUCCUCGAUGGUGUCGAGGCUUGUGCUUGUGAUGGAGCUGGCCGAGUCCAUUGCCCUCUGCAGCCCACAGACCAGUACCGGCCCCUUGGCCCACACUGCCCUGCCAACCGUUAAGCAGACUCCAGUGUCAACCUCACCCUCCAUUCCCCAAAGGUUACAUGAGGAAGAGUGUUUGGGGGUGGGGGGAAGAAGAGAGAAGAUACUAAAUGGAAUGGCAGAGUCCUAAUGGGCAAAAUGGCCUGGUUUGCUCCCCUGUCCCUAAUGUAUCAGCCUUUAUCACUGCCCUUGGCAGGAAACUCCAUGCAAAGAACUAAACUCUGAUACCCCCAUCAUCUCUCAUAUUAGCAUUUCCACUCCGGGGAAAAUAUGCUGGUUAUCCACUCUGCCAUAUCACCUCCCUCCCUCAUUCACUCCAAAGAGAAAAGCCUUAGCUUGCUCAACCUUUCUUCACAUCUCAUGCUCACUAAUUCAGACAGUAUCCUGAUAAAUCUCCUCUGCACCCUCUCUAAAGCUUCUACAUCCUUCCUAUAAUGAUGUGCCCACAACUGAACACCAUAUUCCGAAUGUGGUCGACAUUGUUACUGCCCGUUACACCUCUGACAACGGAGGUCCUCCAUCUCUGGCAGUGUUCAGGGCUUCCUCCAUCAUGUCAGUAGUUUCCUCUCCGCUUUCACUACAGUCCUGCAAGUCCUGGGUGGAGAUUCAGGAAUACUGUCACACUCUGAUGCAGGAUCCUUUAUUGCUG